rnacentral:sRNA from 1 species
GACCUGGUUCCCGAAUUGUCACCGGUGGUGCGCGUGGCGGCAAUGUCUGUCGUCUAGGGGCCGGGUCGAAU